GUGCUCGCUUAGGCAGCACACAUCUAAAAUUGGAACAUUACGGAGAAGAUUAGCAUGGCCCCUGCGCAAGGAUGAUGUGCAAAUUUGUGAAGCGUUCCACAUUAAA